UGCAAAUUUGAUUGAUAUCGGUUCGGUAGUUUAGGAGUCCAUAGCGGACAAACAACGUGACACGUAAUUUAUAUAUAUUAAGAUUAAGAAGAUAUAUAUAAUAUAUAGACCGUGUUUAAUAAAUCUGUGGAACUGCAUCUAAAAAAAAUCUAAUAUGAUCGCAUUACGAGAUAUUAUAAAUUUAUUAGUUAAUCCAACGAAAUUGAAAGUUACUUGUUUUAUGUGUUUUAAAGAAAGUAAUGACUUGUUAAAUAUUUAUGAAAAUAGUAUAUAUACAGCAAGCCCAAGUCGAUCAAUUAGGCUAGCAAGUGUAAUUAAAGAAAUUUUCCCAAUUCAAGAAAUAUUUCUCCAACAUGCUUGUCAACAAUGCCUUGACUUUAUCCUUAACAUUUACACUCAUUUAA